UACGGAGGAUGCAAGCGUUAUCCGGAAUGAUUGGGCGUAAAGCGUCCGCAGGUGGCUGUGUAAGUCUGCUGUUAAAGAGUCUAGCUCAACUAGAUAAGAGCAGUGGAAACUACACGGCUAGAGUACGUUCGGGGCAGAGGGGAAUUCCUGGGUGUAGCGGUGAAAUGCGUAGAGAUCAGGAAGAACACCGGUGGCGAAGGCGCUCUGCUAGGCCGUAACUGACACUGAGGACGAAG
rnacentral:rRNA from 1 species